rnacentral:rRNA from 1 species
AGUGAACGCUGGCGGCAGGCCUAAUACAUGCAAGUCGAACGGCAGCACAGCAGAGCUUGCUCUGUGGGUGGCGAGUGGCGGACGGGUGAGGAAUACGUGGGAAUCUGCCCAGUCGUGGGGGAUAACGUAGGGAAACUUACGCUAAUACCGCAUGCGCCCUUCGGGGGAAAGCCGGGGACCUUCGGGCCUGGCGCGAUUGGAUGAGCCCACGUCGGAUUAGCUAGUUGGCGGGGUAAAGCCAACCAAGGCGACGAUCCGUAGCUGGUCUGAGAGGAUGAUCAGCCACACUGGAACUGAGACACGGUCCAGACUCUACGGGAGGCAGCAGUAGGGAAUAUUGGACAAUGGGCGCAAGCCUGAUCCAGCCAUGCCGCGUGAGUGAAGAAGGCCCUCGGGUU